AAGGUUGACCAUACUCUACAGUUGUGUUUUAAUGUAUAUUAAUGUUACUAAUGUGUUUUCAGUUUUAUUGAUAGUCUUUUCAGUAUUAUUGAUAAUCUUGUUAUUUUUAGUAUGAUUCUGUAAAAAUGAAUUAAUACUAAUUUUUCAGAUGUAUCAUCUCUUAAAAUACUGUAAUUGCAAUUUAAUAAUUGUAUUGAAUGCCAUCAAGUUUUUUUAAAAAGCUUAUGCAGCAUUAGAGGAAUUUAUUUUAAUGCACAUUUAUAUUCAACAUAGACAUUAAUUCAGAUUUUUACUUGGGAUAAAACAAAUUCUAGUUUUCCCUUUGUUUUGAAAUUACUUUUAAAAUAUGUCUUUACAGAUAAAUAUAAAAUAUAUUAAGCAUUUUGAACAGAGCUUAGAAGACAAUAUUUAGUACUGUUUCUGAAUAUUUCUUUAUAUCUGAAGGGGAAAAGCCAUCAAAAUAUGUGAAUUAAAUACCUAAAAUUCUGGUUGUCAAAACGUCACACUUAACCAUAACUUUAAAGGUAGAAAAACCCUUACAAGUGACCAACCCACUCAUUGGAUAGCUAAGGAAACACAAAACUCAAAUAAUUUGCUACACAUCACAGAUUGGGGUCUUAGUCUUAUGUCUUCUAACUUUAUAAUGGUAUACUAUUUUUUUCAUGUUUUUAUUAAAAUGUUUUCUUAAAUCCUUAGCCAAAGAUUUUUGUUUGAUAAGUCAAAAAUAAGGUCUUGUUUACUUUGUUUACUUUUUUGUAUUCAAGAUUUAACUCAGAGUAAGACCAAAUUAUCAUUGUAGUUUUAUUGAUAUAAAAUGUCAACAUAAUUUAAUUUUUUUUUUUACUUUUUUGUAUUUUUAAAAUUUUUUAUUAAAAAUAAAAGUAGACAGCCAGGUGCGGUGGCUCACGCACUUUGGGAAGCCGAGGCAGGCGGAUCACCAGGUCAGGAGAUCAAGACCAUCCUGGCUAACACGGUGAAACCCCAUCUCUAUUAAAAAUACAAAAAAAAUAGCCAGGCGUGGUGGCGGGCGCCUGUAGUCCCAGCUACUCGGGAGGCUGAGGCAGGAGAAUGGCAUGAACCUGGGAGGCGGAGCUUCCAGUGAGCUGAGAUCGCACCACUGCACUCCAGCCUGGGUGACAGAGGGAGACUCUGUCUCAACAAAAAAAAAAAAAGAAAAGAAAAGUAGAGCUGGGCACAGUGGCUCAAGCCUGUAAUCCCAGCACUUUGGGAGGCCGAGGAGGGUGGAUGACGUGAGGUCAGGAGUUCGAGACCAACCUGACCGACAUGGUGAAACCCCAUCUCUACUAAAAAUACAAAAAAUUAGCCGGGCGUGGUGGCACAUGCCUGUAGUCCCAGCUACUCGGGAGACUAAAGCAGGAGAAUUGUUUGAACCGGGGAGGCGGAGGUUGUAAUGAGCCCAGAUCGCGCCAUUGCAAUCCAGCCUGGACAACAAGAGUGAAACUCCAUCUCAAAAAAAUAAAUUAAAAUGUAAAAAUUAAAACUAAAUAAAUAAAUAAAAAUAGAGACAGGGUCUCACUAUGCUGCCCAGGCUGGUUUCAAACUCCUGGGCUCAAGCAGUCUUGCCUUAGCCUUCCACUGUGCUGGGAUUAUAGGCAUGAGCCACCACCCCUGGCCUAAUUUAAUUAAAAUCUGAACAAAAGGCCGGGCACGGUGGUGGCUUAUGCCUGUAAUCUCAGGCCAAGGCAGGUGGAUCAUGUGAGGUCAGGAGUUCGAGACCAGCCUGGGCAAUGUGGUGAAACCCUGUCUCUACUAAAAAUAAAAAAUUAGCCAGGUGUGGUGGCGGGCGUCUGUAAUCCCAGCUACUUGGGAGGCUGGGGCAGGAGAAUCACUUGAACCCGGGAGAAUCACUUGAAUUCCAGUCUGGGCAACAGAGCGAGACUCCAUCUUAACGGCAACAACAACAAAAAUCUGAACAGAAAUGCUCUAUUUACGUUCUUUUCCUUAUCUGUAGUGUUUUAAAGUCAUUAAACUUAAAAAUGAUGUUCAGGAGAAGAUGAGUGUAUUUGCAUAGUCUGUCAUAACUCUGGUAUUAUUUUGUACAAGGAGUGUGUUAGGGUUUUCAGUUGUAACCAUGCAGAAAAUCUACAAAAUAAAAGCAGUUGUUAAUUAGUCCUUUACAAUCAGAAUUGUCUAUUUUGGAAAUUUAUGAAGUACUUCAGAUGUAAUUUAAGAAAUUGUAUUUGAGCCAAGCGUGGUGGCUCACACCUGUUAUCCCAGCACUUUAGGAGCCUGAGGCAGGUGGAUCACAAGGUCAAGAGUUCGAGACCAGCCUGACCAACAUGGUGAAACCCCAUCUCAACUAAAAAUACAAAACUUAGCUGGGCGUGGUGGCGCGCGCCUGUAAUCCCAGCUACUCAGGAGGCUGAGUCAGGAGAAUUACUUGAAUCUAGGAGGUGGAGGUUGCAGUGAGCCGAGAUCACGCCACUGCACUCCAGCCUGGAAAGGAGGGGAAAGGGAAAGGAAAGGGGAAAGGGAAAGGGAAAGGGGAUUGUAUUCGAGGCUGGGCACGGUGGCUCACGCCUGUAAUCCCAGCACUUUGGGAGGCCGAGGCGGGUGGAUCCUCUGAGGUCAGGAGUUCUAGACCAGCUUGGCGAACAUGGCAAAACCCCGUCUCCACUAAAAAUGCAAAAAUUAGCCAGGCAUGGUGGCCGGGGCCUGUAAUCCCAGCUACAUGGGAGGCUGAGGCAGCAGAAUCGCCUUAACCCUGGAGGCAGAGGUUGUAAUGAGCCGAGAUCAUGCCACUGCACUCCAGACUAGGCGACACAGUGAGACUGUCUCAACAACAACAAAAAAGAAAUUGUAUUCAAAAGCUUAAGGACCUUUUUGUUUAAAUUCUAAUUUGAAGAUCAAAUAUUAUAUUAAAGUUCUCAUUUUUUAUCCAGCAAUAUUUUGUUCCCAAUAUACCAUACAUAGUGGAUAGAACUAAAUGCCAGCGUUUGCAUGGAAACACUGUCUUGGUGCUUUUAAAAAUCAUUUAUCAAUCUCUUAACUUGUUUUAUUUCCUUUCAACCAUUGCAUGAAAGACUUCACCAAAUAUAUAAUUUUUGAUUCCACUAAAAAUAUUCCAGGACUUAACACAAAUGCUUAGAAUAUUUAUUGAAUGAAUUACAAAGUUUACCCAAUACUGUCUAAUAUUUUUUAGAACAACCCAGGAGUUAGGUGUUUUUUGUUUCUUUUUCUUUGUAUUCCUAAAUGUAUCUGAAGUCAGGUUUUAGAAAAUUAUAUUCAAUCUGUCUUCUAAAUGACAAGAAAAAAUUUGCAUUUUACAUUUACCAGAUGAUUCUUUAUAUCUUUAAGUGCUCUUAAGUGUGAUGAAGGAUCAUUUGCAGCUUUUAUAGCUAAAUGAAGACUUUUCUUAUUUUUAAUCCUGACAAUGAAUUAAAGGAAAAUUGAAAUAUUUGAGAAGUAAGAAAAUAUAGGAAAAGUGUUGCAUUAAAACUUAUAGUAUGUACAUUCCAGUCUCUUCUUAGAGAAGAGGAGGUGGCCUGUCGAUAUCUAAUGAAAAAUAACAUUUAGGAAACUCUCAACAGUGCUGGAUGUUUUAUUUGUAGAGUUAUAAUUUUGAAACACAUAAGGAGCCAGCAGUAAAAUGAAAGUUUAUACCUUUUAGUGUUAAUCUUAUUUUGGCUUUUUGUUUUGCAAAACAAACUGCACAUAGUUAUAUAGGGGUAUAUAUUAAGUUUUCAUUUUUUCUUGUUUGGAAAAAAAUACUAAUCUUUUUCAUUUAGGUUUCUUUUUUAAUUGAUGCCAAAGAGUUCCAAUAUUGAACAUCUUAAGUCUGUUACUUGGAUUACGGAUUGAGUUUGGAGCUUACUCAGAGGACUACAGGAGAGUAUCCAGGAAGUAGCAAGAAAUGUGGAUAAUUACUGUACCUUCCUCAUGGAAAAAGUUUUAUUUAAAGUGUUAUUUCUCAUUGAAUACUAUCAAAAAGGAAAAAAAAAUGACCUAAACUUUUGAGAUAGAUUUGGCUCUAGUAAGUAUUUAGUUAUAUCACUUGCAUAUCUGGGAGAAGAAAUAAGAGACUAUCAUCAGUACAUUCCCAUCUACUAAAAAAAUUUAUUUUACACAUGUCAAGGGAUUACUUAUAACUUCCAUUUUAUUACUAAUAGCUUGAACCCUUUUAAUGAAGACCUAACUCCUCCACCAGAAAUUUAAGUUUAUGUUCUUACUUUGUUUACUUAUAAAAUACAUCUCAGGUAUUUCGGAUGUCUUUUUUUUUUCUAAGCCUAUAUGAAAUGAAAAAUAUAUUGGCAAAAUAAAUGUUUAAACCUUUUACGUUAAAAUUACUUUGAAAGAUGAAAAGUUAGUGCUGUUUUUGUCUACGUUAUACUGAAAUUAAAUGUUUAUAAUUUAUAUUUUGGGUUUAUGUAUAAAUCAUGGAAUUUAUGCAAAAAUAUGAGUAGUACAGAUUCUCCUCUAAUUCUGUAGGACUUUGAAUAAUGUGAUAUUUUUCUUAUAAUUGGACCCUUGUGUUUUGAAGAAAUGCCAACUGCUUGAAGAAUCUCCUUGUUAUUUGUAUUAUUUGCUAUAGGGUUAGAUGUUGAGAAAUUCUGCUGACAAAAAAUUUUAAGCCAGUUUUACACUAAAUGUUCCUCAGUCUGAUUAAUUUGUUAUUGGAUGUAUUCUGUAUCUUUCUUUUGUAAUUUGUAACUUUUAUCCACUUAGCACGAAUGAUUCUAUUAAAGAAAAUCAUUAGGAAGUGGUAGAAACUUUAAAUCGCCCCAGAGUUUGCCUGUUUCCAUAUUUUAUUAUCUUAUAAUCUUCGGGAGUGCUUACACUUAUGGAGCUAACAUUUUCAGAGAUACAGCUUCUUAUAGUAACACUAAAACUUUCUUCCUCUUUGGACUGAAUACCUAUAAUUAUAACUAUAUGGUAGUUUAAGUUUCCUUGUGAUUAGUCAAAAAUACCAUUUUAGUAUGAAGCAAUGAAGUCUAUUAUUUGUUGUCCCAUAAUUGAGAAAGCUUAAAUACACCUUUUAUUAAGAGUUUGUAAAUUCUAGCUUAGUCUACACAGAUUUUUAUAUCAAUUUGUUUAUAUUUUUAUUAAUGUCAUUUCUGGAAGUGUGAAAAUGUUAAUGUUCAACAAGCAACAUUAAAAAUAGAUUUGAAACAUUUAUAUAUAGAGAGGUACACAUUUAUUUACUGUUUAGGUACUGAAGAUUAUCACUUAAUAAAAAAUAUAUAUCCCAGCCCCCUUGAAGCUUAUUAAUCUUGGGGGUAGAGGAGUGAGUGAUGGAAUGAAUGGACAAAAAAGCUGGUAGGUACUAUAUUUGGUAUGUCAGAGAGUGACAAGUUCUGUGGAGAAAAUAAAGCAGGGAAAGUGAGAAUGAUGUGAUAAAGGUGUUUGUAAGGCAGAAGAGAGAUAUUUUUAAAUAGUAUGGUCAGGAACUACCCUACAGAGAGGACAUUUGAACAAAGACCUAGAAACAAUAAGGGAGCAAACCAUGUAGGUACCUGGGAGAAGACCCUUCUGAGCAGAUGAAAUAGCAAAUACAAAGACCCUGAGGCUGAAGCAUUUUUUGUGUGUACAUGGAACAGCAAAGAGGCACAUGUAGCUGUGAUCAAAUAUAAACAGGAAGAAUAGUAGCUUAUAGGAUCAGAGAGUUGAUAGGGGCCAUAUCUUGUAGCUGUUUAAGCUACAAGAUAUCUGAGCUACAGAUUCAGUUUUUCAUACUUUGUUUUGAGUGAGUGUCGCUCUGUUGCCCGUGCUAGAGUGCAAUGGCAUGAUUCUCGGCUCACUGCAACCUCCGCCUCCUGGGUCCAAGCAAUUCUCCUGCUUCACCCUCCCGAGUAGCUGGGAUUGCAGGCACCCACCACCAUGUCCAGCUAAUUUUUUUGUAUUUUUAGUAGAGAUGGGGUUUCGCCAUAUUGGCCAGGCUGGUCUCUAGAACUCCUGACCUCGUGAUUCGCCCACCUCGGCCUCCCAAAGUGCUGGAAUUACAUGUGUGAGCCACCAAGCCCGGCCCAGUUUUUCAUACUUCUUUAAGAUAGUUUUGACAGGUAUAUGUGCCUUAGCCUAUUUGAUGUCGGCAGAUAGGACAGAAUAUUUUUAUGAAUCUGAUUUGAGAUUAGACCCCCCAUCAGACCAACUUAGAAUACAAACAGUGUUUAAGUGGGGGGUUAAUAGGUAUUGUGUGAUGAUCAGGACUUUGCAAAUUUUGCAUUGAUGGCUUUGAAAGUGUUUUCUGCGUGAUCAAUUUAGGUGGAUCCAAAACUAAUGACUCCAAGAAACACUGAAUUUGCUCAUGUUUGUCAUAUACCCAAAUGAACCACAGUGUUUUUGAUUACUUCAUCCUUGAAAUUUCUACUAUAAUUAAGUACUUCGUUGUUUUUCACUUAUUUCUAUUUAGCAGCAUUUUAACUAGUUCUUUGCCUCUAGCUGUUUUUGUUGUUGUUUUUGAGAGUCUCACUCGGUUGCUCAAACUGGAGUGCAGUGGUACCAUCUCAGCUCACCGCAACCUCUGCCUCCCGGGUUCAAGCGAUUCUCCUGCCUCAGUCUCCUGCAUAGCUGGGAUUACAGGCAUCUGCCACCACACCCAGCUAAUUUUUGUAUUUUUAGUAGAGACGGUGUUUCACUGUGUUAGCCAGGCUGAUCUCAAACUCCUGACCUCGUGAUCCACCCACCUCGGCUCCCAAACUGCUGGGAUUACAGGCGUGAGCCACCGUGCCCGGGUCACCUCUAGCUGUUUUAAACUAACAAUUUCAUCUUCUAUAUAGUAUACACUACUUUUUUAAUCUUCCUAACUUUUUUUUUCCUAUAGUAUACAAUUUAAAUUUCUUUCUUUGAUGUCUUGUGGUCUUGUCCCAACAUUUUCUAUGUUGUUUAAUUUUUCUUCAAAUGAACUAGUCCUAAUCCAUUUUUCUUUCUCUUUGCCUUUAUUUAUGCCAUUUCAUCACUCCAGUUCUCCCCCAACUAAUGCCUGUACAUUUUUUUUAGUAAGGCAGAAUUUCUCAUGUGCACUGUUUCUUGACCUUAACAGUCUAAUAUUAACCAUCCUUCCAAUGGAAUGAACAUAUGAUACCUGUAGCUCAUAACCUUUUUCUCUACUUUCGCACACCUGAGGUAUAUAACGUUUCUAUCAUUGUUUCUCAUUUAUUCAUAUAGGUUAACCUUUUAAAUGUAUUAGCAAUAUGAAAAAAAAGUUAAAUUUAAGAAACUUCAAAACAGUAGCCUAAACAUCAGGUCCCAAGGUUCAGAUAUUAAUUUUAUGCUGACAAGUUAUAUAGUUGACUUUUUAAAUUCUUCAAAUAGUUAUGUAUGAACCAGUUACAAUAUAUCCUUAAGAUUUAUAAACAUUAAAAGAAUAAUUAUCUCAGUUUUCCAAUAUUGUAAAAGCAAUUAACAGAUACACUUUUUAAAGAAGUAAUCCAUAUGUUUGUUAUGGUAUUGUUUAUAAAGCAUUCAAUAAUAAAAGGCUGAUGAAAUAACAUGUUCAGUAGGAUACUGUGCAGCUACUUAAAAUAGCAAGUGAAUAUUUAAUGAGCUAAAAAGCUGUUCAUUAUUGAAUAAGUAAAAGAUUAUCAAAUAGUUGAAUAGAUUCACCAGAAUAAUUCAUAUGCUAAACUGUUUUACUGGUUUACUCUGGGUGAGAGAUAAAUCUUAUAGGGGUGGGAGGAAUCUUCUUGAUUAUAAAUAAGCAUGUAUGAUUUCUGUGAUGGGCAAACUUUGUUUUUUGAAAAGGAGAGAGAGAAAUCCUUGAAAAAUAAAAGUGAUUAUUUGAAGCAACCUUACAUCCAUAUAAUGAUUUACUUUUGGAAACCUAUAAAAGGGAAUCCUACUGUGUUGAGGAACUUUAGACAUGAUAAUGAAUUAACUGUCAUGGAAGAAAAAUUUCAAAAUCAGAUAAGUUUAAAAUCAGCUUCAGAGGAACAGCGUGCUUUAAGUUCUCAAAGUAAUAUUGAAAAGGAAUUCAAGAAUUACUUCUUGAGUUCGUGGUUGAGAGAUUUCACUGUCAUUUCCCCACUCUUCAAGCCCCCCCAGACCUCAAAAAAAGGUAAGUGUAAGAAAAGGGAUAUUUAAAUCUCUUUUAAUUUGAAACUAUAUUAGUAAACAAACUAAAGAAAUACAAAUCUGGUUUAUUUUAUAGUGAUAAAGAUUUGAUAAUGCAAUGAAACUUCCAUAUACAAAAAUUAAGCAUUUUUCUGUUAAGUUUAAUUUUUCGUAGCAUAAAAGUACUAUAUAGACAUAGAAACCUCAGGAAGAGCAAAAAAAAAUUAUUUAAAAAUCAUUUUUAUCAUCCAAAAGCAGUUGUUAUUAGCCUUAUAUAUACACCCUUCUAGUUGCAUAUUUGGAUUAGUGAAUUUAUUUCUCAAUCCAAUUCGUUACUGUGCCAGGGACUAGAAAGAUUAUAUUUCCUCUAGAGAAGAGGUUUAGUGCUAUGCUUCUGGCUCAGAAAUAUUUUCUUUAGAUUUGAGUUUUAUCUAAAAAUUACCACUAACUUUAUAUCUAUUCCAUAGUAUUGUAAUGUAAAAAUGCCUAGGAUUAGAAUUUUUCCUCAAGAUUGAGGAUACAGGAAGAUGCAUCUUGUUUACUCUGGAUUCCUCCUCUACCAUAUCCGCAUGUCAUCCCCAAGGAUACCUUUUCAUAGUGAAAACAAUUUGAGGCAAGGGAGGUCAUGAAGUAUUCUGAGCAGGAGAGUAAGAAAAAUAACUUCUGAAAUACGUGUACUGGUCAGAAUUUGCUUAAAGAGAGAAAUCUGGCCGUGGUGGCUCACACCUGUAAUCCCAGCACUUUGGGAGGCUGAGGCUGGCGAAUCACCAGAGUUCAAGAGUUCAAGACCAGCCUGGGCAACAUGGCGAGACCCCAUCUCUACUAAAAAUACAAAAAUUAGCCGUGCAUGGUGGUGCACGCCUGUAGUCCCUGCUACGUGGUGGGGGGCUGAGGCAGGAGAAUUGCUUGAACCUGGGAGGUGGAGGUUGCAGUGGGCU
rnacentral:lncRNA from 1 species